AACGCUUUCUGAACGCCAAACCGCUAGCUCCGCCCAAUAUUAAAAGUCAUUUUAAUCCGUUCAGCUCAUUUAAUUUCAACCGAAGCGAGUUGAAAUAGAUGGAAAUGUAGAAAUGUGAAGAAGGGGAACGAAGAUGAGGAGGACUAGACGGAGGGAGAGCCGAAAAUCCGUCAUGUUUGCGCUUCUGCUAGUUUGAAAAUGCUAACCGGAAAGGAAAUUCAAGCUGUUUACGCCUGAACGGACGGUGAAACCCAGAGAGAGAGAAAGAGAGAGAGAGAACCGUUUUGAAACCAGAGGAUCCAAACAGCACAGAGAAAGUCAUGAGAUAAGAUGAUCAGAUGCUUUUUUAAUCUCUAGUUUAACUCCUGUAAUCCAGGUUACCCUGCACUGCAAAAACACAAAAUCCUACCAUGGUUUUUGUUUAGUCUAUACUUUACCUAGUGCAUUUGAAAUAAAAUGUCUUGCAGGA